AGGUGUGUAUCAUGUUGACACAUAACCUUUCCAAGUGGGAAUUUGCCCAGCAUUGGAAGAGUCAACUCAGGUUCCACUCCACUUGGGAUGACACAAAGAUGGCAAGAGGAUACAUUAACAUGAAAUGGACUACCUGACAAGAGAGGACAUGUAAGCUUAAGGAAACUGAAUCUAAACUGUAAGCAUGUCUGCCCUUGAAGGAAGACACUAUCUCUACCAUCCCAAGGAUGUUUAUUACACAAACAGACGUCCUUUAAAAGAUAGGCUUGAAUAACAGCUACUCGAAAGAUGUGAAGAAACAGAAGACAGUUUCCCACAGUACUACAUUCUUGCCUGCCUGCCUGCCUGAGAUGGUAAACCAGUCUUCUCAUGCCUUUGGACAAGGAUUUACAUCAUUGGCUUCCUUAGUUCUCAGACCUUCUCACUAGGACUCGGAUUACACUCAUCAGCUUUCCUGGAUCUCCAGUUUGUGCAAGGUUGCCACCCAUUUAUCCUAACACCACUUAUUGAAGAUGAUUUCUAUCUUACUUUUUCUCGGGGCUUCUCUUUCAUGUACGUAGACACCAUUAUGCAUGGAUGUGUUUUCUAGGUUAUCUGCUCUGUCUCGGCGUGUUUGUAUAUUUCCUUACACAUAUACUGUCUAAAUUCUUCUAAAAUAUGUUGCAAAAAACAGUAGAAUAGUAUUUCCUACUCUGGUUUUCUUCGGGGGUGUAUAUAACUAUUUUGGUCCGUAUGUAUAAAAUUUUUGGAAUUAACCUGUUAAAUUCCAUUAGUUCUAUUGAAUUUAUAAAUUAGUUUGGGGAAGUUUGACAAUUUUCACAAUAUUGAAACUUUCAGUCCACAAUCACAGAAUCUGUAUAUUUAUUAAGUCUUUAAGUUUUCUUAGUAAAGAUUAAUCUUUUUGUCUCUAUGGGUCUUACAUGUAUUUUGUUAGAUUUAUUCCUAUGAGUUUCAUAUUUUUUAAAAAAAUAUCAUCUAGACAUUAUUAUUGCUAAAUGUAUAUAGGUGACUGUAUGACCAAUGUAAUUUUGCAACAUGUACAAUCAGAAAAAU